AACGCGAAGAACCUUACCUGGUCUUGACAUCCUCGGAACCCUGCAGAGAUGCAGGGGUGCCUUCGGGAGCCGAGAGACAGGUGCUGCAUGGCUGUCGUCAGCUCGUGUCGUGAGAUGUUGGGUUAAGUCCCGCAACGAGCGCAACCCUUGUCCCUAGUUGCCAACACUUCGGGUGGGAACUCUAGGGAGACCGCCGGUGACAAACCGGAGGAAGGUGGGGAUAACGUCAAGUCAUCAUGGCCCUCAUGACCAGGGCUACACACGUGCUACAAUGGCCGGUACAAAGGGCUGCCGACCCGCGAGGGGGAGCCAAUCCCGGAAAGCCGGUCGUAGUCCGGAUCGGAGUCUGCAACUCGACUCCGUGAAGUCGGAAUCGCUAGUAAUCGCGAAUCAGCAACGUCGCGGUGAAUACGUUCCCGGGUCUUGUACACACCG
rnacentral:rRNA from 1 species